AAGUCGUAACAAGGUUUCCGUAGGUGAACCUGCGGAAGGAUCAUUAACAAAUCUGCUAUGCGGCCGAGUCUUCGGACUUGACGCAUAUAUUAGCCCCGAGCCUGGCAGCAAUGCCGGCUUUGGUUGGGUGGGACGCAAGUCCUGCUCCGGUUGUGUGAGGACGCAAGCCCUUGCCAGCCACAUAGACGCUUGUAUGUUUGACAGAGUUACAGUUGUAAAACUAAAAUGACAACUUUUAACAAUGGAUCUCUUGGCUCUUGCAACGAUGAAGAACGCAGUGAAAUGCGAAAAGUAAUGCGAUUUGCAUGAAUCUGUGAGUCAUCAAGUCUUUGAACGCACCUUGCACCGUAUGAGCAAUCGUACGGUAUACCUGUUUGAGAAUCGUAAAACCCUCUUUCUACUACCCUUUGGGGUUUGUGGAAGAUUUGUUGGUUGUGCACCUCGGUGUACUCUGAUUAAAAGGAUCAAGUCUGGAUUUGGCUGGUGGCCAAGGACACUGUGUGCUAGAGACGUCGCUUCGGCUGACUGUCUUCUCACAGUGCGUCCUAGGCUAUUCAAAGCUGGUCUCAUCCUAGACUUUUCAGUGUGCCUAAAAACCACACAACCUUUUUUUUGAUCUCAAAUCAGGUAAGGCUACCCGCUGAACUUAA
rnacentral:rRNA from 1 species